rnacentral:lncRNA from 1 species
GAAAUUGUCCAGAUGAGGAUCUUGGAACUGAAAAUCUAAAGGGAAAAAUAAACCGACGCGAAAAAAAAAGAAAUGGAGAAACGACAAAAAUCUCAUGGGAGAUUGAAGGAUGGUGCUCCCUGUUUGCUUGGCGGAGAACAAAGCUCCUCAUGGCACACACCAAAACCGAGCAUUGGCGUUGCUCGGCAUCUUGCCUGAACACAACCUUGACGCAGUUCGCGGCUGCCCCCCUGUUGCCGUAGCUGGAGGGUAGCGAUGGCAGGAGGACGAGACGGACAAGAACAUGGAGGCGGCGACCUGCGGGUGCGGACUGGUCGAGGAGGCUGGGCUCGAGGCGAUGAGGUCACUCGCGAGCGUCGGCAACCAGCAGACCGGUGACGGGAAGGACGGCGCGGGGACGUGAGGAUGCGACCCAUCCCCGAGCCACGCUGGCCGCGGACGCGCCCCGGCACGCCACACGCGGAUCCGGUGGCCGCGGCAGCAUCCCGGCCUCCCGCCUACGCCAGGGCCGCUGCCCCGCGCCGCUUUGCCGCAGCCGCACCCUGGCCCCACCCGCCCCGCACGUCGUCCGCCGCCGUCGCGCGCGAGGACGUGCUGCGCCACGGCCUGGAGGCAGCCUUGCGCUGAAUCCGUGCCGCCGGCGUCAGCCCAGCCCGACGCGGCGCUGGAUCUGGGCCUCGUGGGGAUGAG